GACAGAGGUGCCAAGCGUUAGGCGGAAUCACUGGGCUUAAAGCGCGUGUAGGUGGCGGCCUAAGUACCUUGUGAAAUCCUGCGGCUCAACCGCAGAACUGCUUGGUAUACUGGGUCGCUUGAGCCAUCCAGGGGCAACUGGAACAAGUGGUGUAGCGGUGAAAUGCGCAGAUAUCAGGAGGAACACCAAUGGCGAAGGCAGCUCGCUGGGACGGUACUGACGCUGAGACGCGAAAGCGUGGGGAGCAAACAGG
rnacentral:rRNA from 1 species